rnacentral:lncRNA from 10 species
AAAGUACCUGGACCUCUAUGCCCAUGCUUCUAGCAGCCAGCCUCCUAAAAUACCUCUAGUUGAAGCCAAAGUUAGAAUCCUUCUACGAAACUACAGGAUUAAAAUGGAAUGGUUACAUGACCCAGGCUUGACCAAUCAGAUCAUCCAAACCCUUUGCCACAGUGAUUGGUCCAGGGAUACAUGCAUGAGCCAGCUCAGGUGGCAUUGUAUUAUGCGCCAAGAGUGAACCAGAUAGAGGAAGUUGCUCCUUAAGCUUGCAGGUCUGAAAGAACAAGGAAUUGCCUCUCUUCAAAGGCCUAAGCCACACUCAUCUUGUGGAUGACACUGGAGCUGUGACAGUCUGUUCUGUCCAGGCAGGGUGUCUUUUAUUUUUAUUGGAAAUAAGAUUAUCACAGAAUUGCUGGCUGUUGAUACUCUUUCUCAUCAACUCCCCAAAUGGAAAUGCUUUCAACCACUGCAGAAGUAAAAAAUUACCCAAAGGCUGUAUGAUGCAAACUCUUUCUUUGGCUUUAUCUUACUGAUAAGAAUAAAAAUAACACCUCACGUAUGUAU